AGGGGGGGGCGCGGGGCCGGGGCCCGGCCGCCGUUCCCGCCGCAGCGCCCCGCGGUCAGGCCGGGCUCCGCCGCAGCGCGGCGGCUGCCGGAGCCCCCGGUGCUGGAGCGGGGCCGGCGCGGCGGGAAUGUCGCUGCCCUGGGCCGUCCCGGGAGCCUCCGGGCUGGCAGAGCGCCGGGAGGGGAGGCGGGGGUGGCCGCCGGCGUGAGGCGAUGCGCUGCGGGGCUGCCGUUUGGGGGGUUUGCUGCCGUUGUAGAGGAAAAGGGAGGUGUUAGGUGUGGGUGAGAGGCGGGGGGAGCGGGGCACUGGGGGCCCCUCAGAGCUCCCCCGCAAACACGCUGCGUGGUGCCAGUUGGAGUCUCCAACCCGUGCCUCAGCCUCCAAUAAGUCAAGCAGGGAAACUCCUCUCUCUUCCUUCCUCUAGGUCCCUCGUCUAGAUGAUCGUAUCUGCAGGAUUGCAACUUUAUUUUUUUGUGUGUGUGCCUUUUCCAAUGCACAACGGUAGCAUUAGCGCCUUAAAACAGCAGGUUUAUUGAUUUCUGUAUUUGUUACUAAUUUAAUCCUGUUCUUCGAUAUUUUAUCUUUAAGCUCUUUGCCACAGAAGUCAGGGUAGACAUUGCCAACACCACUUUUGUCUCACAGACCUCGGCUAUUUAACCCCGUUGGCAGCGAACGCCAGGAUAUUUAGGUGGUUUUUGAGCAUUAACGACUGCAUCAUCACAAAGCUCUUCUCAGUCCAAAACGCUACUUGCAGCCAAGAGAAGCAGAGGUAUCCUCCAGCUCAAGUCCAGAGCAACGUUCAAAGCACACCUUUGUGAUCGGGAUACUGUUCUCUGCUGCAUCACAGAGGAUUAAACAUUCAAGAAAACUAAACACGCUUGUCUCCCUUCUCCCAUGUUUGCCUUUGACUAGAGGAAAAGUUUUCUAUUAAGUGACUCAAGCUGUGGAAAACCUCAAGCACCCUGAGCACCGUACUGUGAUUUAUGAUUCCCAAAAUCUUGAUCCUGAUACCAGAGAUGAGAAACUUGGGUCUGCUUUGAGAAAAUGAUUUGCUCUUAUGCUAAGCUCAAUCGAAUUGUUGACACUGACAUUAAGUAAACAUAGUAAGGUGUAAUUACAUUUUACACUGAUCUAUGAAAUAUUCAUGUAAUAAUAACGAAAACAUACAUGCAAUCAUACAAUAUCAUCAUCAUAAACUGUGGUCAAAUACAUAUGAUAUUUGCAAUCCUUAUACCUUGUUCAUAUAAAUAAAUAUUCAUUAGAACUGAAACUAAUUACUGUAUGGUCGAUGACAGCUGAGAAUAUUAAGCGCUGCUACUGAAUUAUGCCUUCAAAGGCAAUU